rnacentral:rRNA from 1 species
GUAAAUACCGGAGGAAGGUGGGGAUGACGUCAAAUCAUCAUGCCCCUUAUGACCUGGGCUACACACGUGCUACAAUGGUUGGUACAACGAGUUGCGAGUCGGUGACGGCGAGCUAAUCUCUUAAAGCCAAUCUCAGUUCGGAUUGUAGGCUGCAACUCGCCUACAUGAAGUCGGAAUCGCUAGUAAUCGCGGAUCAGCACGCCGCGGUGAAUCGUCCGGCCUU